CUGCGGAAGGAUCAUUGUAGAGUUCUGUUUCGAACUAUUGUGAAGUUGUACAUGUGGCCAUCAACAACUAGGUAUUAUUUGUCCACAUAUGCAUUGUUUUGAUGGAUUCCCUUUGCUGCCUUCAUCUAGCUUCGUUCGAAGUAAGAAGGAGAGUAGAAACAAGAGACCGGCAUGGUUUGUGCCAAGUGUAGAUGUUGUUGAAGUGCAUUGCCAUCUUUUUGAUGUGCUUUAUGUUACUCUACAAGCGUGAGCGUUUGAAUGACUCUUGGCAAUGAAUAUCUUGGCUCUCAUGUCGAUGAAGAACGUAGCGAAAUGCGACACUUGGUGUGAAUUGCAGAAUCCCGUGAACCAUCGAGUCUUUGAAUGCAAGUUGCGCUUGAGGCCAUUAGGUCAAGAGCACGUCUUUUUGGGUGUCGUUCCUUGCAUCAUUUUAACCGUCCACCUACGAAAAACAUAAGGUGGGUGACAGUGGAUGUGGAGAUUGACCUUCCGUGCUUUAGUUGGACGGUUGGUUUAAGUGAAUGUUGUGGCUAGGUCUCUGCGCGGCGAAUGGUGUAUCGGGUUAACACGGAUGUCUACAACUGCGUCCAGGAGUACUAAGCAUGACGUAACAUUAACUGAAACCAUUUUCGAUGUUUGUGUUAGUAACAAGGUCGACCCAUGACCUCAGAUAAGACGGGGCCACCCGCUGAGUUUAAGCAUA
rnacentral:rRNA from 1 species